rnacentral:rRNA from 1 species
GGGACGGGUGAGUAACACGUGGAUAACCUACCUAUAAGACUGGGAUAACUUCGGGAAACCGGAGCUAAUACCGGAUAAUAUUUUGAACCGCAUGAUUCAACAGUGAAAGACGGUCUUGCUGUCACUUAUAGAUGGAUCCGCGCCGCAUUAGCUAGUUGGUAAGGUAACGGCUUACCAAGGCAACGAUGCGUAGCCGACCUGAGAGGGUGAUCGGCCACACUGGAACUGAGACACGGUCCAG